rnacentral:rRNA from 1 species
GUUUGGUCCCAGCCUUGAAAUCAGUUAUUAUUUAAUAUACACAUGCAAGUCUCCGCACCCCUGUGAAAACGCCCUUAUUCUCCCCUACAGGGAGCAGGAGCCGGUAUCAGGCACAAAUUUUUGCCCAUAACACCUAGCAUCGCCACACCCACAAGGGACUUCAGCAGUGAUUAACAUUGAGCAUAAGCGAUAGCUUGACUCAGUUAAACUAAAUAGAGCCGGCCAAUCUGGUGCCAGCCGCCGCGGUUACACCACUGUGGCUCAAAUUGAUUUCUAUCGGCGUAAAGCGUGAUUAAAGAUUAAUUUUUUGGAGUUAAACUAAAAUUAAGCUGUGACACGCUUAUUACCUAAGAAAAUCAUAAACGAAAGCUACUCCAAUAUCACCAACUUGAAUUCACGACAACUGAGAAACAAACUGGGAUUAGAUACCCCACUAUGCUCAGUCGUAAACUUUAACUUACAUUUUUCUCCUCGCCA